CACUGUGGUGCCAACUGAUGUCUGAGGGGGACCACUACCCACUGAUGGUCAACAGUUGCUUCACUCAGGUGGGUGAAGGGUCCACUGUGGCAAUGACCAAUGGCUGAGCCAGACCUCUAAUGAUCCCAGGUAGCAGAAAGAAACAGAGAAAGAAACUACAACGAAGCACCAGCCUGGCAAAUACUGGUUUCCUGGAAGUUGAGGACCAGAGUGAGUUGGUUGUUCUGCACCAAAGCCUAUCCGAAGAAAAGAUGAUAUCAUCUGUCCUUGGGUGGAAUUAACUAAAGCACUCUACAUUCAGAAGCUGACAUUAAUCCAUAGCCCCAGAUUUGUAACAGCUGCUGGUGUAAACACUGUUUCCAUACAUUGAGUUUUAACAAUGACUGGAAGAAAUGCAUACUAUUCAUUGGACACCAAUGACAAGCAAACAAAAGAAUCAGACUGCCAAACAGCAAUGAUUAAAAAAAAAAAAAACUAACUGAUUUAAAUAUAUCUACUGCUCAAAUCUAGCUUCAUGGAAUUUUU